GACAGAGGGUGCAAACGUUGCUCGGAAUUACUGGGCGUAAAGCGCACGCAGGUGGCUGAGUCAGUCGAUUGUGAAAGCCCUGGGCUUAACCUGGGAAUUGCAGUCGAUACUACUCAGCUAGAGUAUGGGAGAGGGCAGUGGAAUUCCCGGUGUAGCGGUGAAAUGCGUAGAUAUCGGGAGGAACAUCAGUGGCGAAGGCGGCUGCCUGGCCCAAUACUGACACUCAGGUGCGACAGCGUGGGGAGCAAACAGG
rnacentral:rRNA from 1 species